rnacentral:rRNA from 1 species
AUUGAACGCUGGCGGCAGGCCUAACACAUGCAAGUCGAACGAGUGGCGGACGGGUGAGUAAUGUCUAGGAAGCUGCCCGAUGGAGGGGGAUAACUACUGUAAACGGUAGCUAAUAUCGCGUACCAUCUCAGGUGCCCCGAUGGGAUUAGCUUGUAGGUGAGGUAAAGGCUCACAUAGGCGACGAUCCCUCGCUGGUGUGAGAGGAUGACCAGCCACACUGGAACUGAGACACGGUCCAGACUCCUACGUGAGGCAGCAGUGGGGAAUAUUGCACAAUGGGCGCAAGCCUGAUGCAGCCAUGCCGCGUGUAUGAAGAAGGCCUUCGGGUUGUAAAGUACUUUCAGCGGGGAGGCGUUACCCGCAGAAGAAGCACCGGCUAACUCCGUGCCAGCAGCCGCGGUAAUUC